rnacentral:rRNA from 1 species
GCGGAGGAAAAGAAAAUAACAAUGAUUCCUCUAGUAACUGCGAGUGAAGAGGGAAAAGCUCAAAUUUUAAAUCUGUUAGGUUUACCUAACCGAGUUGUAAUUUGAAGAAGCGUUUUCUGCGAAUUUGGUUAGUCCAAAUCCUUUGGAAUAAGGUAUCAUGGAGGGUGAGAAUCCCGUUCGGUUAACCAAAGCGCUUUACGAUACGCUUUCAAAGAGUCAAGUUGUUUGGGAUUGCAGCUUAAAAUGGGAGGUAAAUUUCUCCUAAGGCUAAAUAUUGGCGAGAGACCGAUAGCGAACAAGUACCGUGAGGGAAAGAUGAAAAGAACUUUGAAAAGAGAGUUAAACAGUACGUGAAAUUGUUGAAAGGGAAACGAUUAAAGCCAGUCGUACCUACGAGUGAUCAACCUACUCGAGUGCGAUUUUGUGGGUAUGUUUGAGCUUAAAAACCUUCAUGCUUACAAAUUGGUGCUCUUUGGGCGUACUUUCUCGUAUGGUAGGUUAACAUCAAUUUCGAUCGUUAUAAAAUGACUGGAGGAAUGUAGCUUCGAUUUCGGUUGAAGUGUUAUAGCCUUUGGUAGAUGUAAUGAUUGGGAUUGAGGAUUGCAACGGAUACCCUCUGGGCUAUUCGUCUGAUCUCUGGAAGUUACCUUGGUGUCGAAAGCGUGCUUACGAUAUUAAGGUUGACGGCCAAUAGGUUAGAACGUGAUUAAAUUCGUUAAGGAUGUUGACGUAAUGGCUUUAAACGACC